AGCAGCCGCGGUAAUUCCAGCUCCAAUAGCGUAUAUUAAAGUUGUUGCAGUUAAAAAGCUCGUAGUUGAAUUUCGGGGUUAGUAAGUUGGUCGUGCCACUGGUAUGUACUGGCCUUACUGAUUCCUCCUUCUUGUAGAACCGUAAUGCCAUUAAGUUGGUGUUGCGGGGAAACAGGACUGUUACUUUGAAAAAAUUAGAGUGUUUAAAGCAAGCUAACGCUUGAAUACAUUAGCAUGGAAUAAUGAAAUAGGACGUUCGAUCCUAUUUUGUUGGUUUCUAGGAUUGACGUAAUGAUUAAUAGGGAUAGUUGGGGGCAUUAGUAUUCAAUUGUCAGAGGUGAAAUUCUUGGAUUUAUUGAAGACUAACUACUGCGAAAGCAUUUGCCAAGGAUGUUUUCAUUAAUCAAGAACGAAAGUUAGGGGAUCGAAGACGAUCAGAUACCGUCGUAGUCUUAACCAUAAACUAUGCCGACUAGGGAUCGGAUGAUGUUAAUUUUUAAUGACUCAUUCGGCGCCUUAC
rnacentral:rRNA from 1 species